AGAGAUUCUAGGUUCAGAGAUGAAGGAGAGGGGGCAUCUGUGUGGCUUCAGAAUAUUUAAGAAUGAUGUCCGAUUUAAAGAAGGAAUAAGAUGAGAAGAUUGUGGUCAGACAUGCCAAGAGACUUGGAAGAGUCACCUAGUAAAUAGGAGACAAAUCUGGAAUUUGAAUGCAGUCCCAUGGAACCCAGGAAUACAAGCCCAACUGGCCACCAGAGCCAUGAGAUCAAAGGAUAUCCUUUGGGUGGCACCCACAUAAUCUGGACAAUAGACAUAAAAACUGGAGCACAAGAUGUGUGUAAAAGUUCACCUCUAGGAGAUAAGGUCCCUCUGGAGCAUGGCAGAGGGAGAGUGCAAAGAUGACAGCUGUCCUCCAGGAUCUUAGGAGCUUCCUCUCAGGCUGCAGCCAUGAAGAUAAGCUAGAAGUCCUCUUUCACAGAAAGACAAGACUCCUCAGACUGUUGCCUCUUGAACAGAUGCUGCCCCAGAUGUGGAAAAUGCAGAUGUUUGCCAGCUUCAGGAUAACUCCAAAUUCAUAACUGUACAUGGCAUUCUGCAGAUCUCUCAGUUUGAUUUUUGAGGGAAAAAAUCUCCCCUCCCCCAAAAAUGGUAAGUAUUUUUUUCUUGUUGUAUAUGUGACUUGGAGA